AUUGAACGCUGGCGGCAGGCUUAACACAUGCAAGUCGAGCGGGGAAGGUUGCUUUGGUCACUGACCUAGCGGCGGACGGGUGAGUAAUGCUUAGGAACCUGCCUAUUAGUGGGGGACAACAUUCCGAAAGGAAUGCUAAUACCGCAUACGACCUACGGGGGAAAGCAGGGGAUCUUCGGAUCUUGCGCGAAUAGAUGAGCCGCAGUCGGAUUAGCUAGUUGGUGGGGUAAAAGCCUACCAAGGCGACGAUCUGUAGCGGGUCUGAGAGGAUGAUCCGCCACACUGGGACUGAGACACGGCCCAGUCUCCUACGGGAAGCAGCAGUGGGGAAUAUUGGACAAUGUGCGGAAGCCUGAUCCAGCCAUGCCGCGUGUGUGAAGAAGGCCUUUUGGUUGUAAAGCACUUUAAGCGAGGAGGAGGCUCCUUUAGUUAAUACCUAAAGAGAGUGGACGUUACUCGCAGAAUAAGCACCGGCUAACUCUGUGCCAGCCGCCGCCGUAA
rnacentral:rRNA from 1 species